GGGCAACUAACUCAAUCGGUAGAGUGCCAUGUUCACAGCGUGGAGGUUACAGGUUCGAAUCCUGUGUUGCCCACCA
rnacentral:tRNA from 1 species